AACGAACGCUGGCGGCAUGCCUAACACAUGCAAGUCGAACGAAACCUUCGGGUCUAGUGGCGCACGGGUGCGUAACGCGGGGGAACCUGCCCUUAGGUUCGGAAUAACUCCCCGAAAGGGGUGCUAAUACCGGUUAAUGUCUUCGGACCAAAGAUUUAUCGCCUUUGGAUGGGCCCGCGUUGGAUUAGCUGGUUGGUAGGGUAAAAGCCUACCAAGGCGACGAUCCAGAGCUGGUCUGAGAGGAUGAUCAGCCACGAUGGGACUGAGACACGGCCCAGACUCGUACGCGAGGCAGCAGUGGGGAAUAUUGUACGAUGGGCGAAGGCCUGAUACAGCAAUGCCGGGUAAGUGAUGAAGGCCUUAGGGUUGUAAAGCUCUUUUAGCCGGGAUGAUAAUGACGGUACCGGGAGAAUAAGCACCGGCUAACUACGUG
rnacentral:rRNA from 1 species